AUCGACUUUCUGUUGUGUCACCAAAUUUUCCAUCUUUCUUUCUUUCCUCGUUCAUUUAAAGGCACAAUUCCAAAUCUCAAUGCAAGUUUGAUCUGUUGCUAGCUUUGUGGAAGUGCAGGCCAUUUCAGAAUUUACAGUCAUUCAAAUCUAGGACGUUGAUCAGAGAAAGAGAGAAUAUUAAUGGAGGGAGAACAGAGAGCUAACAAGCAGGAAAUGAAGGUGGAGAUUCCAUCCCUCCAGGAAGCCGGCGUGGAGAUUCCGACACCCAGCGGGCUCACGAGACAGCCCAGUACGGGCAGCGGUGCAAAGGGCAAUUGCCUCUGCUCUCCCACCACUCACGCCGGUUCAUUCCGGUGCCGCCUCCAUCGCGCACCCUCUCUCCAACGCACCAAAAGCAUGGACUGUCCUAACAAGCCUGCUGCUGACGCGAACACUGCAGUACAUCCCCAGCAUUAGUACAUAUAUAUAUAUAUAUAUAUAUAUAUAUAUAUAUAUAUCAAGUUAAAUUAAUAUUGCAUCUGCUGCUAUAUUAAGUACAUAUGAACAAGUUCUUGUUUUGUAAUUCUAUGCUUCUAUAGUUCUAAUCCACCACGCUUAAAAUUAAA